AUUUUUAACAUAGUUAUCGAUGCAUAAUGUCUUUAUAGAUAGCAAUUAAGUAAAAAUAUUAAGUCUAAUUAAGCAAUUGUUUAAGUCACACAAGUCUCAUGAAGUGCAUUGGGAAACUUUCUGGUUUUUCUCUUCUUUGAAAGGGCUUGUACAGAUGAGAAUUACCUGUCCCUUGAUUGAUUUUUUUUUUUUUUUUUUUUUUGAGACAAAGUCUUGCUCCAUCACCCAGCCUGGAGUGCAGCAGUGCAAUCUUGGCUCCCUGCAGCCUCCAAUCCCCAGAUUUAAGCAAUGCUUGUGCCUCAGCCUCCCAAGUAGGUGGGACUACAGGCAUGUGUCACCACCCCCGGCCAAUUUUUGUAUUUUUAACAGAGAGUUUCACCAUGUUGGCCAGACUGGUCGUGAACUCCUAGCCUCAAGUGGUCUGCCCGCCUCAGCCUCCGAAAGUGCUGGGAUUAUAGGCAUGAGCCAUCACACCCAGCCCUACCUGUUCCUUGAAUGUUAAGUAAAAUUCACUUGUAAACUGGGCCUGGUAUUUUCCUUGUGGAAAGAUUUUAAACUACUGAUUUGGUCUCUCCAAAGUUUUAAAUUUAGAUUGUUUCUUAGUGGGUUUGGAUUUUUUUUUCCAUUUUUAUAUUGGCUAUGAAAAAUGUAGGGGAGCUCCUGUCAUUCAGUUUCGCUUCCUCUAAACUAGAACCUACCAUCAAAAUUGCUAUUUCAAUAUGAUGUGUGAUUCAUAUUUGGAACACAGUUUUAGAAAUGCUUUUUGAAAGUAACUUUAAAUAAAAUAUUGUGAUACAGUUAAUGAAGAUCAUUUCAUUUUGUCAUAGGAGGAACCAAAUCAGAUGAAAAAGUGGACUUGAGCAAGGACAAAAAAUUAGCCCAGUUUAACAACUGGUUUACAUGGUGUCAUAAUUGCAGGCACGGUGGACAUGCUGGACAUAUGCUUAGUUGGUUCAGGGACCAUGCAGAGUGCCCUGUGUCUGCAUGCACGUGUAAAUGUAUGCAAUUGGAUACAACAGGGAAUCUGGUACCUGCAGAGACUGUCCAGCCAUAAAAUGUUAUCACUGUAAGAGAACCCUUCAAGUGUGGAGCUUUCUAGUAGGUGUCCUUCAUAGCUCAGAAACAUACCUCAGAACAAGCCAUUCAUGACUUACCUGUAGUGGGAAAACAAAUCAUUCUAUCAGAUCAGCAGUUUUGAUGUUUGAGUGAUUUUGAUAUGCUUCACAGAGACAAAUGCUGCCGAAAUAAACAUCGAAGUAUAGACAUGAGUUCUGUUCAGCAGGUUGAAAAGUCUGAUUUAGAAAAACUUUCUAAGUUUUGGUUGAAAUUAUGAACACUCUAGAAGCAGAAUUUCUGGAAGAGCCAAGAACAGACUUUGAGCCUAUAUCUUCAAAGCUGAAACUGGAUAUCUUUCAAUAAAAUAUGUGCACUUUUAAAAUAAAAUGACUAAUUCUGUGAUUCAGACAAUAGUUUUAAGUUCAGCUGUGCUUAGAUUUCUUUCAGAUUAAUUUAAAAUUAUAGAUUUUUACUUUUAGAAUUGCAGAGCCCCUAUCCCACACUGGAGAAUAUUUUUUAUUACUGUCUGUUAUAUAUGUGUGUCUAUGUGUGUGUGUAUAUUUAUGUGUGUAUGUAUAAAUAUGUAUUUUUUAAAGGAGCCUUUUCCCUCCUUUGAUUUUAAGAUAAGCAAUCUUUUGGCAUAGACAUUAUCGUCUUCCUAGAAAAGCCAAGAUGAAGAAUCUAUCUUACAACUUUUUCUCUUCAGAAGAGAAAAACAUGUACCAUUUCAGGUGAACAUACAAAAUUUUCACUUUCUACCUUUUGCCUUCCAAUGUCCUGAUUUGUCUUCAAAGGUUUUUCUCCAUAUUAAUUUGUCAUCUUAUCCUCAUCACCUGAGAACAUUUUACUGCAUACAAAGUCUAUGCAAGAUUAUAUGUAACUAGCCAUUUAGUAUAAUCUAUGUCAGUGUUUCUGUGCUGUCAAAUUCCGUCCUGAUUUGGAAUACCAUACCUUGUUCUUUCCAAGGUAGACUAGGAAGUGUUGGGGAAAUAGGGCCACUUCAGAGACCAUUUUAGAUGUAAGUUUUUAAAUGUAAGUGUUACUGGGGCUAAGUCUGGGACUUUAUUUAAAACAUUUUUUUUUCUCAUUUCAUAGCUAGAUAGUUGUAAGAGAAAUACAAAGAAUUUACAAGAUGCUUCCCUGUCAUCUGCCAUAUGCAGAGGGACUGAACUAGGAAUUUUGUAGUUGAAGCUGUGUUCAUAAAGAGUAAAUCUUAUUUUAUAGAUUUUGGAGAAAUAAAACAAGAAUUUUAAGAGCUUUCGUAUUAGCAGUUUUGCCUUAUAAAAACUAAGAUUUGUCAGAUUAGUUUGAGGUGUAACCUAAAUAUUAAAAGUAGAUUAAAUUUAUUUUUUACCUUGAGUGUCUGAUACAUAAAACCCUUUUCUAGGAAAACAUUGGAAGUAGUACAUAUUUACUCUAAAUGUCUCACCUACAUGACAGUCUUUUCAAAUGAAAGACAUGGGAAUUGCAAUUUUUUUUUAAAGAUUGCUAUUAAGGGUACUUUUUCCAGCCUUCAUUUGAGUAAAUCUUAAUUGAUUUCAUUUUAUUAACAUAUACCUUUUACCUUUAAUAUUUCAUUUGAAGUGUUCCUUUCAAACUUACUGUCUUAAAUAUGAAAGUCAGCUUUAAGUAAUGUCAGACUCAUAUGCAUUUUCAUUCUCAUUAGCUAAAGUAAAAUGUAAAAUUAUCUCAAAUAGUUACAAGUUUUGCAAAUACAGUAUAAAACAUGAAUGUAAAGUCUAUUAUGUAAUAUGCUUAUUUGUAAUCCUAAUAUAUGAGGGUGACAUUUUUAAGAUUGUAUGUAUGUGUCAACCUCUUAAAUGUUUUCUGUGAAGCCC
rnacentral:sRNA from 1 species